AAGUUUUGUGAAGUAGAUAUAAUGAAGAUAACCGUCCUUUUGUGGGUCUUCUCUCUCCUUUACCAUGUGCGCUAUAGAUGCUCUGUCUUUCAAGUCACCAAAUUUGACUGUUAGAUAUGAUCAUGGAAUGUUGAUUUAAUUUCGUGGUUUGCUUACACUCUGCUUUCGCCUGCUGCUUUGAAUCAAACCACGAGAUCAUCACCUACUACACUAUGGCUUCACUUACAUGGGAGAAACAAGUGGAACACACCCUUAUCAAGUUGGUUCGCCAACAGCCACCACUGUGGAACACCAUGGAUCCCAAUUACACCAAAAAGAAAUAAAAAAGAGUUUUACAGGCAAAUAGCAGACACGUUGCAAGCACUGUACCCAGAAAUUCAGGAUAUUACACUAGAAAAUGUCCAGAUCAAAUACACUAAUUUUCGGACCUCAUUCAAGCGAAAGCUGAAGAAAAUAAGGACUGAAGAGUGGGUUAGCAGGCAAUAGUGAACCAGUAGACUCUCAGUGGCCUCUGUUCAAUUCAAUGCUGUUCUUAUUGGAUGUUGUGGAACCAGGUCCAAGCUGUACAACAACUGCCCUUUGAUUCACAUGCACCGGCAAGUUACUAUUUUUAGUACAGGGGAUCCUCACAAUCCGACGGGGUUAGAAGAGUUUUUCAUCAGUCGAAUCAACAUUUAUUUGAAUCAUGAAGCAAUUUUUUCCUUAAGAUACUUAAGUAUUAGGGGGUAUAAGGACCAACCUCCAGUCUACGUAGAUGCCCCCCCCCAAAAAAAAACAUCACUAUAAC